rnacentral:lncRNA from 1 species
GCUGCAGGCGGCUGGAGCGGCUGCGGCGGCGCAGGCGACGGCGACGGUCGGCGGGAAAGAGUUGCCGGAGCACGGUGAAGUCCAGGGGGAGGGUCUGCAGGAGACGCAGCCCCGGGCCUUCACACAACCCGAGAGAAGAGAGGGAGAGAGAAAGAGAGGGAAGGAAGAUGGGUGAUGGCUCGGCGGCGGCCGGGGCUCAGCCGGCGGCGGCCGGGGCUGGUGCAGCAAGGGCAGGGGGAAGGGUGAAGGUGGCUGGGGCGACUAGGGUAGCUGGGGGCUGGCUAGGGUUAGGGUUAGGGGGUCAAAACCCUAGGAACCACUAUAUAAACAAGGUACAAAUCGCAAGAAAGCCCCUCAAACAUCAGAAUUUCAAUCCGAGAUCCUCACAAUACGACUAAAACGCAAGAACGACCCUCCACGUGCGAUCUCACGCAAAACGGUACAUAAAAUAUCGCGACUUUCGCGAAAAUACCAUUUUGCCACUACCGACCUCUCCUCGAUCAACGCGCGAUCUCCGCAGAUCCGUCCGUCAGAUUUGCGAACGGAUUGCACCAGUGCGAUCAGCACGACGGAGACAACAAAGCUGCGAUUUCGUUUCGUCUUGAUCGACCACGGAUUCACGACAAAAUCCAACCUUCUUCGAAUAGAAGGAAACACACACAUAAAUACAUAUAA